rnacentral:rRNA from 1 species
CCUUUAGAUGUCCUGGGCUGCACGCGCGCUACACUGGAAGUUACGGAUUGAGAUACUACCUUGUCCGAAAUGGUCCGGGUAAUCACCUAAAAGCUUGUCAUAAUUGGAAUGGAUUAUUGUAACUAGUAAUCCUGAACGAGGAAUUCCUAGUAAGUCCCAGUCAACAGCUGGUACUGAUUACGUCCCUGCCCUUUGUACACACCGCCCGUCGCUACUACUGAUUGGACGUUUAAGCAAGAUUUUUAAACACUGACAGUGUGUAGUUCACGCUAUACUACAGUGAGAAGAAGAAGAUCGAGCUUACUUGUCUAGAGGAAGUAAAAGUCGUAACA